rnacentral:lncRNA from 1 species
AUGCUGCUAAUGUAUCUGAUCUUAGUGUUUUCCACUGAGACUGGGCCCACCACCAAGCUUAUUGGGCUGGCCCAAACAUUUGUGGGCUUUGCUAUUGGGCUUCAUUAUUAUAUGACGGUGUUUCAUAGGGCUGUGCUCCAUCAACCACCUAAGACUAGCUGGAGGGUUCAUGCCAUUUAUGCUGCAUUUUUCCUUGUCAUUUGCCUGGCAACUACUGCACAACCACCCAAGACUAGCUGGAGGGUUCAUGCCAUUUAUGCUGCAUUCUUCCUUGUCAUUUGCCUGGCAACUACUGCUGAUAGAAGGAAAAAGGCUUAUUUAGUACAAGGUGGUGAGGUUGAGAAGAAGAGCUAAAGUUUUUUAUUCACCUUUUUUUCUUCUUUCUUUUUAAUCAUCUAUAGUCAGAUGGCAAAAACGAAAAAAGAAAGAUUUUUGUUAUCCAAUAUUUUAUCUGUUUUUUUGGUUUUAUAUAUAUAUAUAUAUGUCUUACUAUUUGUCAUUUGUUAAGAUGUUAUUAAUAAUUGAUGGAAUCAAAUUUAUGCAAUUAUCCAGAUAAAUGCACUUCCUUUGUAUCACUCUAAACAGUGUUGUCUUACCACUUGCUUGGAUAGUAGUUGUUUCACAAUAUAUUAUAUUAUAUUAUAUUAUUUUGAUGAA